GACGAACGCUGGCGGCGUGCUUAACACAUGCAAGUCGUGCGGUAAGGCCCUUUCGGGGGUACACGAGCGGCGAACGGGUGAGUAACACGUGAGCAACCUGCCCUUCACUUAGGGAUAACUGCCGGCAACGAUGGCUAAUACCGGACAUGACUUCCUCCCGCAUGUGGGGUGGUGGAAGGCAUUCGGGGGGUGGGGGGUGGGCUCGCGGGUUAUCAGCUUGUUGGUGGGGGGAUGGCCUACCAAGGCUUCGACGGGUAGCCGGCCUGAGAGGGUGACCGGCCACACUGGGACUGAGACACGGCCCAGACUCCUACGGGAGGCAGCAGUGGGGAAUAUUGGACAAUGGGCGAAAGCCUGAUCCAGCAACGCCGCGUGAGGGAUGACGGCCUUCGGGUUGUAAACCUCUUUCGCCUGCGACGAAGCGAGAGUGACGGUAGCAGGUAAAGAAGCACCGGCCAACUACGUG
rnacentral:rRNA from 1 species